GGCUUUGAUCUUGAACUGGAAGUGAAAGUGUCAGAAUUGCUCUCUGCCCACCCUGCCCUUUCUCACUUUGACUACACUGGAUCAGGAAGUGAUAAUAAACAUCAGCCCCUUGGAGUGGUUAUUACAUUUGAGGCCAUGCAUCCCAAAGGGUCUCAAAACCACUAAUGCAUUUCCCCCCAGAAUGCAAAAAA